rnacentral:sRNA from 1 species
CUGAAAUGACUAAAUGUGAAACACAGUUAGAUGA